rnacentral:rRNA from 1 species
CGAAACGCCUGUACGGAGCAAUACCCGCGNUGAGGGAAGAAGGUCUGUGGAUUGUAAACCUCUUUUGUUAGGGAAGAUAAUGACGGUACCUAACGAAUAAGCAUCGGCUAACUCCGUGCCAGCAGCCGCGGUAAGACGGAGGAUGCAAGCGUUAUCCGGAAUUAUUGGGCGUAAAGCGUACGUAGGCGGUUUUAUAAGUCUGUUGUCAAAGCCCGAGGCUUAACCUUGGAAAGGCAAUGGAAACUGUAAGACUAAAGAGAGAUAGGGGCAGGAGGAAUUCCAGGUGUAGCGGUGAAAUGCGUAGAUAUCUGGAAGAACACCAGUGGCGAAAGCGUCCUGCUGGAUCUCAACUGACGCUGAAGUACGAAAGCUAGGGGAGCGAAUGGGAUUAGAUACCCCAGNUAGUCA